UACGUAGGGUGCGAGCGUUGUCCGGAUUUAUUGGGCGUAAAGAGCUCGUAGGCGGUUUGUCGCGUCGGCCGUGAAAUCUCCACGCUUAACGUGGAGCGUGCGGUCGAUACGGGCAGACUUGAGUUCGGUAGGGGAGACUGGAAUUCCUGGUGUAGCGGUGAAAUGCGUAGAUAUCUGGAGGAACACCGGUGGCGAAGGCGGCAUCCUGGACCGGUAUUGACGCUGAGGAGCGAAAGCCAGGGGAGCAAACGGG
rnacentral:rRNA from 1 species